rnacentral:lncRNA from 1 species
CCAAUUCGUGCAGGAGCUGCCACAAACAGUAAUAAACCAGCUGUGUUAGAAAUGGAUCACUUAUCAGUGCGUGCCCAAGCCUCCUAAUGCCUCAUGAUGUUUAAUAAUUAAAUUGUGACACCUUGAACCCGCAGCUGACACCAUGAAUCACAGUGGAAUUCUCCAAAUGGAAUGCAGCCACACCUCAGCUUCUGUGCUGCGUGCUGCCACUGAGGACAUUCGAUACCAUUGAAGCCGUCAGAUAGAGGGCCGUAUUUCAAAAGGUCUACGGUGGCUCCGUUUCUUCUCUGAGACUUCAAAAGUCCUUCAAGAGUGAGUUCCCGUCUCAUUCUAUGUCCAGGAUGAAGACGGAUGGCCUCUUGGCACCCAUCUCUUUGGCAUGAACGAUGUGGGGAAACGUGAAUGGAAAUGGGGAACUGUUGCUGGCACCCAGAAGUCAUCCGGUCCGGAUGAAGCCAAGUCACAAGGAAGUGCCUCCAAUUAUUCUUCAUAAAUUCCUCUGAGGUUUCACUUCUUGUCCACACAAGACUUUAAUAAAAUGUGGCAUCUAACUGAAUAAAGACUAUCCUUUCGGGU